rnacentral:rRNA from 1 species
UACGUAGGGCGCAAGCGUUGUCCGGAAUUAUUGGGCGUAAAGAGCUCGUAGGCGGCCAGUUGCGUCUGCUGUGAAAUCCCGGGGCUCAACCCCGGGCGUGCAGUGGAUACGGGCUGGCUAGAGGCAGGCAGGGGAGAACGGAAUUCCCGGUGUAGCGGUGAAAUGCGCAGAUAUCGGGAGGAACACCGGUGGCGAAGGCGGGUCUCUGGGCCGUAACUGACGCUGAGGAGCGAAAGCGUGGGGAGCGAACAGG